UGAUGGAGUAAGUAUGCCACUGUGGGUGU
rnacentral:piRNA from 1 species